UUAAAUAUAUUUGAAUGAAGAGUUUGAUCCUGGCUCAGGAUGAACGCUGACAGAAUGCUUAACACAUGCAAGUCGAUUCGAUUUACCUUCGGGUAUUGAGGAUGGCGGACGGGUGAGUAACGCGUAAGGAACUUGCCUCUUGGUCUGGGACAACUGUUGGAAACGACAGCUAAUACCGGAUAUUAUGAGAUUCUCGCAUGGGAAACUUAUGAAAGCUAUAUGCGCCAAGAGAGAGCCUUGCGUUCCAUUAGCUAGUUGGUGGGGUAA
rnacentral:rRNA from 1 species